GACGAACGCUGGCGGCGUGCCUAAUACAUGCAAGUAGAACGCUGAAGGAGGAGCUUGCUCUUCUGGAUGAGUUGCGAACGGGUGAGUAACGCGUAGGUAACCUGCCUGGUAGCGGGGGAUAACUAUUGGAAACGAUAGCUAAUACCGCAUAACAGUAGAUGUUGCAUGACAUUUACUUAAAAGGUGCAAUUGCAUCACUACCAGAUGGACCUGCGUUGUAUUAGCUAGUUGGUGGGGUAACGGCUCACCAAGGCGACGAUACAUAGCCGACCUGAGAGGGUGAUCGGCCACACUGGGACUGAGACACGGCCCAGACUCCUACGGGAGGCAGCAGUAGGGAAUCUUCGGCAAUGGACGGAAGUCUGACCGAGCAACGCCGCGGGAGUGAAGAAGGGUUUCGGAUCGUAAAGCUCUGUUGUAAGAGAAGAACGAGUGUGAGAGUGGAAAGUUCACACUGUGACGGUAGCUUACCAGAAAGGGACGGCUAACUACGUG
rnacentral:rRNA from 1 species